UACGUAGGGAGCAAGCGUUGUCCGGAAUCAUUGGGCGUAAAGCGCGCGUAGGCGGCCUCAUAAGUCCGUUGUGAAAGUCAAAGGCUCAACCUUUGAAAGCCGAUGGAUACUGUGAGGCUAGAGUACGGAAGAGGCGAGUGGAAUUCCUGGUGUAGCGGUGGAAUGCGCAGAUAUCAGGAGGAACACCAAUAGCGAAGGCAGCUCGCUGGGACGUUACUGACGCUAAGGCGCGAAAGCGUGGGGAGCGAACAGG
rnacentral:rRNA from 1 species